rnacentral:rRNA from 1 species
UGGGGAAUAUUGGACAAUGGGGGAAACCCUGAUCCAGCAAUGCCGCGUGUGUGAAGAAGGCCUUAGGGUUGUAAAGCACUUUCGGUUAGGAUGAAAGACUUAGGAUUAAUACUCUUAAGUUCUGACGUUAUCAACAAAAGAAGCACCGGCAAACUCUGUGCCAGCAGCCGCGGUAAUACAGAGGGUGCAAGCGUUAAUCGGAAUUAUUGGGCGUAAAGCGCAUGUAGGCGGAUAAGAAAGUUGGAUGUGAAAUCCCCGGGCUUAACCUGGGAACUGCAUCCAAAACUUCUUGUCUAGAGUAUAGAAGAGGAAAGUGGAAUUUCCGGUGUAGCAGUGAAAUGCGUAGAUAUCGGAAGGAACAUCAGUGGCGAAGGCGACUUUCUGGUCUAAUACUGACGCU